GAGUUUACAACUCCCAAACCCAAUGUGAACGUUACCAAACUGUUGCCUCGGCGGGGUCACGCCCCGGGUGCGUCGCAGCCCCGGAACCAGGCGCCCGCCGGAGGAACCAACCAAACUCUUUCUGUAGUCCCCUCGCGGACGUAUUUCUUUACAGCUCUGAGCAAAAAUUCAAAAUGAAUCAAAACUUUCAACAACGGAUCUCUUGGUUCUGGCAUCGAUGAAGAACGCAGCGAAAUGCGAUAAGUAAUGUGAAUUGCAGAAUUCAGUGAAUCAUCGAAUCUUUGAACGCACAUUGCGCCCGCCAGUAUUCUGGCGGGCAUGCCUGUCCGAGCGUCAUUUCAACCCUCGAACCCCUCCGGGGGAUCGGCGUUGGGGAUCGGGACCCCUCACACGGGUGCCGGCCCCUAAAUACAGUGGCGGUCUCGCCGCAGCCUCUCCUGCGCAGUAGUUUGCACAACUCGCACCGGGAGCGCGGCGCGUCCACGUCCGUAAAACACCCAACUUUCUGAAAUGUUGACCUCGGAUCAGGUAGGCAUGCCCAGCUGAACUUAAGCAUAUCAAAAGGCGGGAGGAAA
rnacentral:rRNA from 1 species